rnacentral:rRNA from 1 species
UCUGGAAACGGAUGGUAAUACCCGAUAACAUCUCCGGAUCAAAGGUGAGAUUCCGCCUGAGGAUUAGUUUACACACUAUUAGCUUGUUGGCGGGGUAAUGGCCCACCAAGGCGACGAUGGUUACCGGGCGUGAGAGCGUGACCCGGAUCACUGGGACUGAGACACUGCCCAGACACCUACGGGUGGCUGCAGUCGAGAAUCUUCGGCAAUGGACGAAAGUCUGACCGAGCGACGCCGCGUGUAUGAUGAAGGCCUUCGGGUUGUAAACUCCUGUCUUAAAG